rnacentral:lncRNA from 1 species
UGUCUGCCAUACAUUAACAUAUAUCACUCAUAAUUAUAUAUAUAUAUAUAUAUAUAUAUAUAUAUAUAUAUAUAUAUAUCCCCUCCCUCUUGAACCUCCCUCCUCUCUCUUCCCCCAUCCCACCCCUCUAGGUUGUCACAGAGUGCCCGGCUGGGCUCCCUGUUACACAGCAGCUUCCCACUAAGGGUCUGUUUAUACAUGAUAGUGUAUAUAUGUCAGUGCUAUUUUCUCAAUUUGUCCUACCCUCUCCUUCCCUUGCUGUGUUCACCAGGUCAUUCUCCAUGUUUCUUUUGCAAAUGUUCUACAUCUUUGGUACACUUUUAAAACUGGAACACUGAUGAUUUUUAAAAUAUGUGUGUUUAAUAUAUUAAUAACUAUUCCUUUUGCCAUAUUUGCCACAUACCUAUUAUUUCCCAGUUUGCUGUUUGCCUUUUAAAUAGUUUGCAUGAUAUUUUGUAUCCAUUUUUCUUUUGUGAAUCUUUCCAUUGAUUUUAUCCUUAAAAAGUGUUUUUAUUUCUUCCCCAAAAACAAUAUUUUAGUUUGGAAUGGUUUGGAAAGAUGAGAAUAUUGUGAUCAAGGUUGCCCUGGUCCUCAGUGUGUGAAUACAUGGCUCAAAAAUGAAGCAGUUACUCUAACCCCACUACAUUUCUAGUCCCAGGAAAUGAGACAUUCCCAGAGAAAUGAAUCAUAUUUCAUGUCUGCUAAACAACAGAACUCAAGUAAUCUACAUCAAAAUAGUUGGCCAUAGAAACCUUCACAAAUGAAAAUUUUGCAACAUCAGAAACUAAGCCAAGUAAGAACCAUCCCACAUCACAAAGCCCAAAAUGCUAUAUCAAAUUACCAAUUUUCUGUGUAAUCUUGCUUUUUAGUUGUUUAUCUAAUGAAAUACUCCUUUGUUUCACCCAGAGAAACUUCUGGUCUCAAUCAUAACUUCCUCCCUCCCUCCUCCCCUCCCUCCUUCCUCCCCUCCCUCCCUUCCUCCUUCACUUCCUUCCUACCAGUGUGCAGUACACGAAUUUAUUAUGGACCUACAGUUGUUAUCACAGGAAAAUUAGCUUGGAGCAAGAUGGCCCCUGUCCUGGACCCAUGCUUCUAGGGACCUGCUCUUGUUU